AGAAUUGAUCUUGGUCAGGACGAACGCUGGCGGCACGCUUAACACAUGCAAGUCGAACGAGCGAAAGGUGCUUGCACCUCUAGCUAGUGGCGGACGGGUGAGUAACACGUGAGCAAUCUGCCUUUCGGUGGGGGAUACCAAUUGGAAACGAUUGUUAAUACCCCAUAACAUAACGAAGCCGCAUGACUUUGUUAUCAAAGAUUUAUUGCCGGAAGAUGAGCUCGCGUCUGAUUAGGUAGUUGGUGAGGUAACGGCUCACCAAGCCGACGAUCAGUAGCCGGACUGAGAGGUUGAACGGCCACAUUGGGACUGAGACACGGCCCAGACUCCUACGGGAGGCAGCAGUGGGGAAUAUUGCACAAUGGGCGAAAGCCUGAUGCAGCGAUGCCGCGUGAGGGAAGAAGGUUUUAGGAUUGUAAACCUCUGUCUUCGGGGACGAUAAUGACGGUACCCGAGGAGGAAGCUCCGGCUAACUACGUGCCAGCCGCGGC
rnacentral:rRNA from 1 species